AAGUCGUAACAAGGUUUCCGUAGGUGAACCUGCGGAAGGAUCAUUAAAGAAUUUAAAGAGUGCACUUCAUUGUGGCUCGACAUUUUCUACCAUUCACCCUAGUGCACUGUAAUACCUUUUUUAUUAGACUCUACAAAAGUCAUUGAAUGUAACACUUUUUUAAUAAAGAAAUAAAACUUUUAACAACGGAUCUCUUGGCUCUC
rnacentral:misc_RNA from 1 species